GAGGAUGUAGCUCAGUGGCAGAGCACAUGCUUAGCAUGCAUGAGGUCCUGAGUUCAAUCCCCAGUACCUCCA
rnacentral:tRNA from 1 species